AUGGCGGCGGCGUGCGCGGCGGCGCGGAUGUUCGCCUACAACGCGACCCUCUGCGCGUGCGACCCGGGGUACUACCUCUCGGCCAACGGCACCGGCACCGCCUGCGUCUCCCUCCCCGCCUCGGGCGACGGCAACACCUUCGCCGACUGGCAGGUCGGGGCCGUCGGCGCCGGCUCACGCAACCAGACGCUCUACUUCCUCGCCCCGGUCCUCUCCCUCGACGCCGUCCGCCGCCUCACCCAGUCCCAGGCCGUGCUCCUCUUCACCGCGCUCGUCACCCUCCUCUCCUGGCUCGCCUUCUGCGCCGCCGCCAGGCUCGCCGGCCGCGACCCCUCCGGCAACAAGAAGCUCUUCCGCGCCCGCUUCUGGAUCAGCCGCCUCGACUGCAUCUUCGACACCCAGCACUGGGCGGCUGACCAGCAGGUGCUCAAGAAAAGGAAGACAGAGCUGGGUGGAAUGUGCUCUGUUGCUGCCCUCAUACUCUUCAUUGGAUUGGUCACUGUGCUGCUGUACCAAGCCAUCAAUAGGCGCAACAUCGAGGUGCACCGGGUCAAGCCGGCCAAUGCUCCUGAUCUCUUGGCCUUCGUCAACGACAUCGAGUUCCACAUCACCACCAUCUCGAGCAUGUCCUGUUCUCAGGUGACCCCGCCUUCGACGAUCGCGAUGGGGACGCCCGGGUUCAUGGACUUCAGGGUGUUGCCCCUCUCAACGCUCUUGACCUACAGUUGCCAGAACACGAGCCAGGGGCCGUCUAUCACGCUCAAGUGCAGCGGCUGCAGAAUGCCUCCAAGGGACCACUACGUGUCCUGGCAGUUUGUCGACCUGCCGGCGCGGCCGGCGAUAGCUGUUGGCUUCCAGUUCAACCUGACUACCAAGCAAACCGGGGACAAUGAGCACGUGAGCUUUGUCAGUGGGACCAUAAACUCUGACAACUAUGGCGAUGAGAAGCUUAAGACAUUCAGAGGGACAGACUCCAACGUGCUCAAGAUUCAGCUGUUUCCCCAGAUAUACAACAAACUUAACAACCUGAAGCUCUUGCAGCCACUGCUUCAGGACUUCACUCCAGGGUCCACCUUUUCGGAUGUCCGGAGCUUGAAUGCUUCCCUGCAGAACCCUACAGAUGGAGUAUUAAACACUACGCUCUACAUAAGUUAUCUUUCAGACUACAUCGUGGAGAUUAGUAACGAAAGUGUGCUAGGCCCAGUCAGUAUAAUUGCGAGUAUUGGUGGCCUUUAUGCCUUCAGUAUAGCGAUAUUUCUCUGCCUCAUGGCUCAAUGUGAAGCUAGGAUAAAGAAGCUCCGUAAUGAGGAUACAAGAAUGCUGAAAAUUCUGAGCAAACGGCGAGCUCAACAGAAUUGGGAUAAGGUGAGGAAGUUUGUGAUGUAUACCUGGGGCCCUAGCAACUUGGAUCCAACUGACAGAAGUGGCAAGUGGCCUGAAGCUUCAAUGAUGGAUUCUCUCCAUGAAUCCUUCCACAAGAAAAGAAAACCGACUAGACGAGCUACCUCGAUUGCUACCAGAACGAUGAGAGAUCAUCCUGACGUGGGUUCAAUUGACAUCGAAAGAGCUGGGUAG
rnacentral:rRNA from 1 species